rnacentral:lncRNA from 1 species
CCAUCAAAUUGAAAGGGGAAUUGAAGGCUAUUUGGAUGCAUGAACCAGGAAUGUUAAUUACCUAAGUGUUUCUAACAUCAAGAACAAAGAAAGACGAAGGAACAAGUCAAUCCAAGGCGCUAGAAACGCAAGAUUUCGGUAAAUCCUCACUUUAGGCGAUUUGGAGAUUUGGAGCGAGCACGGGUCCAUGUUAUGUUAUACCAAAAGCUUCCGCUAGUUUAUGUUCGUCCUUAUGGUCCAUGACUUGUUAUUUUGUCCAACUUUGGUCGUAGAUUGUUGUUAG